AGAGACUAGGCUGGGACUCACCCUGCCCGAGGUCUUGCUGUCUUAUGUCCUCCAUGGGUGGGCAAGGACCCUAAGAUAGAGGGAGGGCAGGCCAGGUCUCAGCGCCCCUCACUCCCCUGCAGAGGACAUCCUGGAGUCCUAUGAGAACCCGCCACCCAUCGUUCUGCCGAGCCAGGGCUUCCAGGUGGACCUGGAGGCCGACUGCCCGGAGGACAGCAUCUACCAGCACCUGCUCUACAUCCGCCACUUCCUGUGGGGACUGCGGGGCCAAGCAAGCCCUGAGAGUGGGCCUGCCCAGCCUGACAGCAUCGAGGGCCUGUACCACACAAUUCCUGAGGGGCAUCUGGAAGGCCAUGGCUGCCCCUUGACUAAUAGAGAACAAGGCAGAGGAGCUGUGGAAACUGCUCCUGGCCAUUCUCUUCCUGUGCCUGGAGCUCCCCGGGCACAGGGUCCCCCUGGAAGACAGCCUCCCCGAGGGGACCGCAGGGGCUCCCAGGCUGGCUCUCUGCACACUGACUCCUCCUGCCUGCUCACUCCUCCCAGCACACCACUGGGCCUGGAGCCUGGAGGCCCCACCUGGCCAGAGCCCAGCGGCCUCUGUGGAAAAGCGCUCCUCGAAGGGCAGAGGAAUGGACCAGGUGGUCUUCCUGGUGCAGUUCUAGAAGGAGACGCGGUUCAGGCUGCGGCUGAGCCUCCUGCCGAGGCCUCCAGCCCCAGCUCCAGCACAGAGGACUUCUGCU
rnacentral:lncRNA from 1 species